rnacentral:rRNA from 1 species
UACGGGGGGUGCGAGCGUUGUCCGGAAUCACUGGGCGUAAAGGGCGCGUAGGUGGUUUGAUAAGGGUGUGGUGAAAGCCCGGGGCUCAACCCCGGGUCUGCCGUGCCGACUGUCAAACUCGAGGGCUGUAGAGGCAGACGGAAUUCCGGGUGUAGCGGUGGAAUGCGUAGAGAUCCGGAGGAAGACCGGUGGCGAAGGCGGCUAACUGGUCCGGUACUGACGCUGAGGUGCGAAAGCGUGGGGAGCAAACAGG